GGGCGAUUGGUUUAGUGGUAUAAUACCCCCUUAGCAUCGUUUCGGGAAUCCAACCCUGAAACUGGACUGGGGGUGGUCCAGGGUUCGAUUCCCUGAUCGUCCA
rnacentral:tRNA from 1 species